AGAGUUUGAUCAUGGCUCAGGAUGAACGCUAGCGACAGGCUUAACACAUGCAAGUCGAGGGGCAGCAUAAUUUGUAGCAAUACAGAUUGAUGGCGACCGGCGCACGGGUGAGUAACGCGUAUGCAACUUACCUAUCAGAGGGGGAUAGCCCGGCGAAAGUCGGAUUAAUACCCCAUAAAACAGGGGUCCCGCAUGGGAAUAUUUGUUAAAGAUUCAUCGCUGAUAGAUAGGCAUGCGUUCCAUUAGGCAGUUGGCGGGGUAACGGCCACCAAACCGACGAUGGAUAGGGGUUCUGAGAGGAAGGUCCCCCACAUUGGUAACUGAGACACGGACCAAACUCCUACGGGAGGCA
rnacentral:rRNA from 1 species